rnacentral:lncRNA from 1 species
UGCAAUUUUAAAUAUGGUAUUCGAGAAGACCUUACUGAGAAGGAAUGCUGGAAAUAUUUGGGCCUAACUGAUCUUUAGUCAUUAUCCUACUGGUCAAUAUGGGUAGGAAUUAAUUUGGCCCUUGAAAAUCAGACAGCGGAAAAAAUGCACCUCAUGAUCAUUCAGCCUCUGACUUUUUGGGAGGAAAUCAUUUUCAAAGAAAUGUCCCCCACCAAAAAAAAUCUCUUAAUGCUACACUGCAAAGG